GAAAGCUAGGGGAGCGAAUGGGAUUAGAUACCCCAGCAGUCCUAGCCGUAAACGAUGGAUACUAGGCGCUGUGCGUAUCGACCUAUGCAGUGCUGUAGCUAACACGUUAAGUAUUC
rfam:Nicotiana attenuata strain TT chromosome 6, whole genome shotgun sequence.